UACGGAGGGAGCUAGCGUUGUUCGGAAUUACUGGGCGUAAAGCGCGCGUAGGCGGCUUUGUAAGUUAGAGGUGAAAGCCCGGGGCUCAACCCCGGAACUGCCUUUAAGACUGCAUCGCUUGAAUCCGGGAGAGGUGAGUGGAAUUCCGAGUGUAGAGGUGAAAUUCGUAGAUAUUCGGAAGAACACCAGUGGCGAAGGCGGCUCACUGGACCGAUAUUGACGCUGAGGUGCGAAAGCGUGGGGAGCAAACAGG
rnacentral:rRNA from 1 species